rnacentral:rRNA from 1 species
AUCGUAAGGUUUGCUGGAGGUAUCAGAAGUGCGAAUGCUGACAUGAGUAACGACAAAGGGGGUGAAAAACCUCCUCGCCGGAAGACCAAGGGUUCCUGUCCAACGUUAAUCGGGGCAGGGUGAGUCGACCCCUAAGGUGAGGCCGAAAGGCGUAAUCGAUGGGAAACGGGUUAAUAUUCCCGUACUUCUGACUAUUGCGAUGGGGGGACGGAGAAGGCUAGGUGGGCCAGGCGACGGUUGUCCUGGUUCAAGUGCGUAGGCUUGAGAGUUAGGUAAAUCCGGCUCUCUCUAAGGCUGAGACACGACGUCGAGCUGCUACGGCAGUGAAGUCAUUGAUGCCAUGCUUCCAGGAAAAGCCUCUAAGCUUCAGAUAGUCAGGAAUCGUACCCCAAACCGACACAGGUGGUCGGGUAGAGAAUACCAAGGCGCUUGAGAGAACUCGGGUGAAGGAACUAGGCAAAAUGGUACCGUAACUUCGGGAGAAGGUACGCUCUUGAUGGUGAAGUCCCUCGCGGAUGGAGCUGACGAGAGUCGCAGAUACCAGGUGGCUGCAACUGUUUAUUAAAAACACAGCACUGUGCAAAAUCGCAAGAUGACGUAUACGGUGUGACGCCUGCCCGGUGCCGGAAGGUUAAUUGAUGGGGUUAGCGCAAGCGAAGCUCUUGAUCGAAGCCCCGGUAAACGGCGGCCGUAACUAUAACGGUCCUAAGGUAGCGAAAUUCCUUGUCGGGUAAGUUCCGACCUGCACGAAUGGCGUAAUGAUGGCCACGCUGUCUCCACCCGAGACUCAGUGAAAUUGAAAUCGCUGUGAAGAUGCAGUGUACCCGCGGCUAGACGGAAAGACCCCGUGAACCUUUACUACAGCUUGGCACUGAACAUUGAACCUACAUGUGUAGGAUAGGUGGGAGGCUAUGAAGACGUGACGCCAGUUGCGUUAGAGCCGUCCUUGAAAUACCACCCUUGUAUGUUUGAUGUUCUAACUUAGACCCAUUAUCUGGGUUGAGGACAGUGCCUGGUGGGUAGUUUGACUGGGGCGGUCUCCUCCCAAAGAGUAACGGAGGAGCACGAAGGUGGGCUAAUCACGGUUGGACAUCGUGAGGUUAGUGCAAUGGCAUAAGCCCGCUUAACUGCGAGAAUGACGGUUCGAGCAGGUGCGAAAGCAGGUCAUAGUGAUCCGGUGGUUCUGUAUGGAAGGGCCAUCGCUCAACGGAUAAAAGGUACUCCGGGGAUAACAGGCUGAUACCGCCCAAGAGUUCAUAUCGACGGCGGUGUUUGGCACCUCGAUGUCGGCUCAUCACAUCCUGGGGCUGAAGUCGGUCCCAAGGGUAUGGCUGUUCGCCAUUUAAAGUGGUACGCGAGCUGGGUUUAGAACGUCGUGAGACAGUUCGGUCCCUAUCUGCCGUGGGCGUUGGAAGAUUGAAGGGGGCUGCUCCUAGUACGAGAGGACCGGAGUGGACGAACCUCUGGUGUUCGGGUUGUGUCGCCAGACGCAUUGCCCGGUAGCUAAGUUCGGAAUUGAUAAGCGCUGAAAGCAUCUAAGCGCGAAGCGAGCCCUGAGAUGAGUCUUCCCUGACAGUUUAACUGUCCUAAAGGGUUGUUCGAGACUAGAACGUUGAUAGGCAGGGUGUGUAAGCGUUGUGAGGCGUUGAGCUAACCUGUACUAAUUGCCCGUGAGGCUUAACCAUACAACACCCAAGGGGUUUUGUA